rfam:Ophiostoma piceae TAMH 11346 chromosome Tnknown scf21, whole genome shotgun sequence.
GGUGAGAUGCCAGAGUGGUCUAAUGGGUAUGAUUAGAAAUCAUAUGGCUUCGGUCGCGUGAGUUCAAAUCUCACUCUCAUCG